rnacentral:rRNA from 1 species
AAGAGAGAGACAUGCGCGCAUAUCAAUAAGCGGAGGAAAAGAAACUAACAAGGAUUCCCCUAGUAACGGCGAGUGAAGCGGGAAGAGCUCAAAUUUGAAAUCUUAAAGGGUUUCCCUUUACGAAUUGUAGUUUAAAGAAGUGUUUUCUGUUGAGGUUUUGGUAAAAGUUCUUUGGAAUAGGACAUCAUAGAGGGUGAGAAUCCCGUAUUUGACCUUUACUUUCAACUUUGUGAUACACUUUCAAAGAGUCGGAUUGUUUGGGAAUGCAGUCCAAAAUGGGUGGUAAAUUUCAUCUAAAGCUAAAUAUUGGCGAGAGACCGAUAGCGAACAAGUACCGUGAGGGAAAGAUGAAAAGAACUUUGAAAAGAGAGUUAAACAGUACGUGAAAUUGUCAAAAGGGAAGCGUUUGACACCAGUGUUGUUUUUCUGAAAAUCAAUUAAAGAACUGUUUAUGCUAAGUUGUUUAGACUUUAUCAGCUAACUGUUUAGUUUUGAGCUUUUCUUUAAUGCACUUUUCAGUUAACAAGUCAACAUCAAUUUCUUUUGCUGUAAAAAAGCUUGAGGAAGGUGGCUUGAGAUUCGUCUUAAGUGUUUAUAGCCUCUUGCCUAUGCAGUCGGAGAGAUUGAGGUCUGCAGCGUAGAUCCUUCGGGGCUAAAUGCAUUUGUGCUAAGUUAUAGCAUUUUAUAGACAACUUGUUGACUAUGAUUUGUCUUGUAGCUUACUCGCUUAUGUUAUUUUACCUACGCUUAGGAUGUUGACGCAUGAGAUAUACGC